UACGAAGGGGGCUAGCGUUGCUCGGAAUCACUGGGCGUAAAGGGUGCGUAGGCGGGUCUUUAAGUCAGGGGUGAAAUCCUGGAGCUCAACUCCAGAACUGCCUUUGAUACUGAAGAUCUUGAGUUCGGGAGAGGUGAGUGGAACUGCGAGUGUAGAGGUGAAAUUCGUAGAUAUUCGGAGGAACACCAGUGGCGAAGGCGGCUCACUGGUCCGGUACUGACGCUGAGACGCGAAAGCGUGGGGAGCAAACAGG
rnacentral:rRNA from 1 species